GAGUUUGAUCCUGGCUCAGGACGAACGCUGGCGGCGUGCUUAACACAUGCAAGUCGAACGAAGAGCGAUGGAAGCUUGCUUCUAUCAAUCUUAGUGGCGAACGGGUGAGUAACGCGUAAUCAACCUGCCCUUCAGAGGGGGACAACAGUUGGAAACGACUGCUAAUACCGCAUACGAUCUAACCUCGGCAUCGAGGAUAGAUGAAAGGUGGCCUCUAUUUAUAAGCUAUCACUGAAGGAGGGGAUUGCGUCUGAUUAGCUAGUUGGAGGGGUAACGGCCCACCAAGGCGAUGAUCAGUAGCCGGUCUGAGAGGAUGAACGGCCACAUUGGGACUGAGACACGGCCCAGACUCCUACGGGAGGCAGCAGUGGGGAAUCUUCCGCAAUGGACGAAAGUCUGACGGAGCAACGCCGCGUGAGUGAUGACGGCCUUCGGGUUGUAAAGCUCUGUUAAUCGGGACGAAAGGCCUUCUUGCGAAUAGUUAGAAGGAUUGACGGUACCGGAAUAGAAAGCCACGGCUAACUACGUGCCAGCAGCCGCGGUAAUACGUAGGUGGCAAGCGUUGUCCGGAAUUAUUGGGCGUAAAGCGCGCGCAGGCGGAUUGGUCAGUCUGUCUUAAAAGUUCGGGGCUUAACCCCGUGAUGGGAUGGAAACUGCCAAUCUAGAGUAUCGGAGAGGAAAGUGGAAUUCCUAGUGUAGCGGUGAAAUGCGUAGAUAUUAGGAAGAACACCAGUGGCGAAGGCGACUUUCUGGACGAAAACUGACGCUGAGGCGCGAAAGCCAGGGGAGCGAACGGGAUUAGAUACCCCGGUAGUCCUGGCCGUAAACGAUGGGUACUAGGUGUAGGAGGUAUCGACCCCUUCUGUGCCGGAGUUAACGCAAUAAGUACCCCGCCUGGGGGAGUACGACCGCAAGGUUGAAACUCAAAGGAAUUGACGGGGGCCCGCACAAGCGGAGGAACAUGUGGUUUAAUUCGAUGAUACGCGAGGAACCUUACCCGGGCUUGAAUUGCAGAGGAAGGAUUUAGAGAUAAUGACGCCCUUCGGGGUCUCUGUGAAGGUGCUGCAUGGUUGUCGUCAGCUCGUGCCGUGAGGUGUCGGCUUAAGUGCCAUAACGAGCGCAACCCCUCUCUUCAGUUGCCAUCAGGUAAUGCUGGGCACUCUGGAGACACUGCCACCGUAAGGUGUGAGGAAGGUGGGGAUGACGUCAAAUCAGCACGGCCCUUACGUCCGGGGCUACACACGUGUUACAAUGGCCGGUACAGAGGGAUGGUGUAAUGCAAAUUGCAUCCAAUCUUGAAAGCCGGUCCCAGUUCGGACUGGGGUCUGCAACCCGACCCCACGAAGCUGGAUUCGCUAGUAAUCGCGCAUCAGCCAUGGCGCGGUGAAUACGUUCCCGGGCCCUUGUACACACCGCCCGUCAAG
rnacentral:rRNA from 1 species